rnacentral:rRNA from 1 species
GAUGAACGCUGACAGAAUGCUUAACACAUGCAAGUCAACUGUGGCGGACGGGUGAGUAACGCGUAAAGAACUUGCCUCACAGCUAGGGACACCAUUUUGAAACGAAUGCUAAUACCUGAUACUGUGAGAGAGCUUUGCGUCCCAUUAGCUAGUUGGAGAGGUAACGGCUCACCAAGGCGAGGAUGGGUAGCCGGCCUGGGAGGGUGAUCUGCCACAAGGGGACAGAGACACGGCCAUUACUCCUACGGGAGGCAGCAGUGGGGAAUAUAGGACAAUGGACCAAAGUCUGAUCAAGCAAUUCUGGGUGCACGAUGAAGUUUUCGGGAUGAAAAGUGCUUUCAGUUGGGAAGCGGUACCAACAGAAGAAGUGACGGCUAACUACGUGCCAGCAGCCGCGGUAAUAC